AGCAGCCGCGGUAAUUCCAGCUCCAAUAGCGUAUAUUAAAGUUGUUGCAGUUAAAAAGCUCGUAGUUGAAUUUCGGGGUCAGUAGGUUGGUCGUGCCACCGGUACGUACUGGUCUCACUGAUUCCUCCUUCCUGAUGAGCUGUAAUGCCAUUAAUUUGGUGUUGCGGGGAAACUGGACUGUUACUUUGAAAAAAUUAGAGUGUUUAAAGCAGGCUAACGCUUGAAUACAUUAGCAUGGAAUAAUGAAAUAGGACGUUCGAUCCUAUUUUGUUGGUUUCUAGGAUUGACGUAAUGAUUAAUAGGGAUAGUUGGGGGCGAUUAGUAUUCAAUUGUCAGAGGUGAAAUUCUUGGAUUUAUUGAAGACUAACUACUGCGAAAGCAUUUGCCAAGGAUGUUUUCAUUAAUCAAGAACGAAAGUUAGGGGAUCGAAGACGAUCAGAUACCGUCGUAGUCUUAACCAUAAACUAUGCCGACUAGGGGAUCGGAUGAUGUUUAAUUUUUUAAUGACUCAUUCGGCNCC
rnacentral:rRNA from 1 species